GCAUCGAUGAAGAACGUAGCGAAAUGCGAUACUUGGUGUGAAUUGCAGAAUCCCGUGAACCAUCGAGUCUUUGAACGCAAGUUGCGCCCGAAGCCUUCCGGCCGAGGGCACGCCUGCCUGGGCGUCACGCAUCGCGUCGCCCCCACCUCUCCGCUCAAACAGAGCGGGUGAGUAGGGGG
rnacentral:rRNA from 1 species